rnacentral:rRNA from 1 species
AACAAACGCUGGCGGCGUGUCUUAAGCAUGCAAGUUGAGCGGCAAGGAGGAGAGAUCCUCCCUAGAGCAGCGGACUGGUGAGUAACGCGUGGGUAAUCUAUCUUAGGCAUGGGGAUAGUCACUAGAAAUAGUGGGUAAUACCGAAUAAGUUCCAUAAGGGGAGGACUUAUGGAAGAAAGGUGCUACGGCACUGGCCUUAGGUGAGCUCGCGUCCCAUUAGCUAGUUGGUGAGGUAAAGGCCCACCAAGGCGAUGAUGGGUAGCCGGCCUGAGAGGGUGUACGGCCACACUGGGACUGAGAUACGGCCCAGACUCCUACGGGAGGCAGCAGCUAAGAAUAUUCCGCAAUGGACGGAAGUCUGACGGAGCGACGCCGCGUGGAUGAAGAAGGCCGAAAGGUUGUAAAGUUCUUUUGCUAGGGGAGAAUAAGUGUGGGAGGGAAUGCCUGCACGAUGACAAGGACUAGCGAAUAAGUCCCGGCCAACUACGUG